GGACCCAAUCACCAGAUGAAAUCAUGGGUGCAGUGGGUAAAACAGUGUUGAAAAGAUCUGACUUGAUUUCUUUAGGAUUGAACCAUGACGUGGAGGCAACAGUUAGUGGAUGUGUUACAUAACUUUAUUUUAAUAUAUUUGAAGUAACUGGGAUCAAAUUUUUUGACCCUAACAUUCUGGAUCCUCAUGCAAUAUGUGAUGAACUGUUGCCUUUCUCAGCUAUAUCCCACAUUGCUGGAGAGAAUAUAUUAUGAGUGUCAUUUGACAAACCUGGUUAAUAUAAACAUAAUUUAUUAUUAAUUUUAUUUAUUUAUUUUUACAGGGCAAGGAUGUUCAUGUUCUUGAUUCAUAUGUGGUGGCCACUUGGCAACAACCUCUAAAUUAUGAUCCAUUUCUGUCCCUACCAGUGAGUGGUUUUUGAAAUGUUUGGUUGAUAUCCUGCUUUAGAGGGAAAUGUCACCCAAAAAUACAGGGUUAAAACAACUUGAGGGCGAGUAAAUUACGAAUUAAAAAUUUUGGUGAACUAUGAAUUUAAAGUUAUCAUCAUCACUUCUUUUUGUAAUUUCUCUGGAUUGCCACAUUCAACAAUAUGUUCUAUGUUUGUUUCUGUUCACUCCAACAGACUGAUGCAGCCUCAAAAGACUGCAUCAUAUUUCCGAUUUGCAAAUGAGCUCACUGGAGUUUAUGUGUAAGUUGUUGAUUUCUUCAAAUAACAUUCGUUUAAUUUUGGAAAUAUCUUAAUCAUUGCUUCCAUCCAAGGUUUUGCCUGACAGCCAUAUUUUAAAUUGUUAAUGUUAAUUUCUAUGGUAAUCAUAAUUUGGCAAACUAACACACAGGCAGGCUAUGUUGUAGGAAGUUUGCUUUGUGUAUUCUGCAGGUAUUGCUCCCGAAACUUAAAAGGAUACACAUCCUUGACUCCACUGACCCUAGAGGUUAUGGAGAUGCUGACUGUGUAUCCAUGUUCAGGUUUACAUACUGUAUAAUUCCAUUCCAUAGCCCAAAGUUCCGUUGGACAAAAACUGUUCGGUGUUCCAAUUCCAGAUAUUUAUUUAUUAUUUAUUUAAGUUCAUUUAUUAUAACUAUACAAAAUAUUAUAGAACUGUUCACUUGUUCCAUAUAACUUUCACCCCCAGUUUCACAGACAAGGCUCUAGUUCCAGACUAUUGCAUGUUUACCUGAAACAACUUGCAUAUCUUAAAAGAAACAAUGGCACUGACAUUUUAAGAUUCACAACAGUAAUGUUUUUUUCUAAGGCAUAUUUAUUGCUGUCUAUGCCUGCUGCAAAAUGGCUAAGUGGUUCAACACGGAGUUCAUCUCCCUUGCUCUCGUGUGUAUAAAAUAACUAACUUUUUUCCCCUUCUAUUUAAGCUCAAUUGCAAUAAAGAUGGUUACAGGAUCUUGGAAGCUUCUUAAAAAUAAGGUAUUGAUUUCAUGUUACAACAAUUUUGUUUUCUUUGCUAUAUAGUGUAUAAAUAAAAUGUUAGUUUCUCCACUAAGAUUUUUUUUCCCAGGGUGUUCCAGCCCAGUUUGGAUCUGUGGACUGCGGUGUAUUUAUGCUAAUGAUAAGGUAUUACGGUGGUUUUGUUUCCCCAUAACAUUUUUUUUUUACGGAUAACCAUAAAAUAAUUGUCAUCAGAAGACAUCAGGCUGAUCCCAAUGAAUGAGUAAUGUUUGCUCUAAUAGCAACAUUACUCUAAAUAAAGUAUAAUCAACCACCUAUUUAAAAAUGUGUUAUCUGUUUAACGGUAUGCACUGUACAAGGUGUUUAACUGGGAGUUUGACUUCACCCAGCAUGAUAUGGCCCAUAUCAGGCGGUGGUGGGUGAAUCUGCUCUUAUCAAAAAUGACACAUGGAAGAAAGAGGAAGUGCAGAUAAGCCUUGUCGGAAGUAAGCCGUGAAGAGCCAAAACAACAGGAGGCAGGACAAGUACAGAACAUCGAAAUCUUGAUGGUAGAAGCCAACUUAGUUUUUCUACGAACUUUACAAUCUAGUUAGAACUGUUGUUGAUCAUUCUCAUUUCAGAACAACAAAUAUCAAGCCUGUUUCAAAAGUUACAGCUGUUUUAUGAAACGCAGACAAGAAUGUAUUGAAAUACUACAAAUGUAAAACUGAACUUAAAUGAUAGCAAAAUAUGAUUUUAAAUAAA